rfam:West Nile virus strain G16146 polyprotein gene, complete cds
AGGAAGUCAGGCCGGAGCAUUUCCGCCACCGGAUGCUGAGUAGACGGUGCUGCCUGCGUCUCAACCCCAGGAGGACUGGGU